rnacentral:rRNA from 1 species
GACGAACGCUGGCGGCGUGCUUAACACAUGCAAGUCGAACGGAAAGGCCCUGCUUUUGUGGGUUGCUCGAGUGGCGAACGGGUGAGUAACACGUGAGUAACCUGCCCUUAACUUUGGGAGAACUUCACGAAACUGGGGCGAAUACCGGGUAGGAGCUCCUGCUGCAUGGGGGGGGUUGGAAAGUUUCGGCGGUUGUGGAUGGACUCGCGGCUUAUCAGCUUGUUGGUGGGGUAGUGGCUUACCAAGGCUUUGACGGGUAGCCGGCCUGAGAGGGUGAACGGCCACAUUGCGACUGCGAGACGGAGCAGAAUGCUACGGGAGGCAGUAGGGGGGAAUAUUGCAGAACGGGCGGAAGCGUGAUGCAGCAACGUCGCGUGCGUGAUGCCGGGUUUCGGGUGGUAAACAGCUGUGGAAUGUGACGAAGAGUGAGUGACGGUAACGGGUAAAGAAGCAACGGCUAACUACGUG